rnacentral:lncRNA from 1 species
UGGGGUAUAUACUGGGUAAGGCAUUUUUAUUCAUUUACUUUAUUUGUUUGUUUAGAUAUAGACUCUUGCUAUGUUCCCUAGGCUGGAAUGCGGUGUCUAUUACAAACACAAUCAUCCUGCACUCUGUCUGAAAUUCUGGGCCUCAAGGGAUUUUCUCAUCUUGGCCUCCUGAGUAGCUGGGGCUACAGGUGUGUGUCAUUCUGCCUGAGCUUGGAAGAUCAUUUUAACAGUUUCAAACUCAUCAAUCUCAGCAUCAGAAGAGCUGGAAUAACGAUGGGAUGCUGGUGAGUUAGCUUUGACAAUGCAGAAUAGAAAAACACUCGAAUGGAUCUGGAUGCUGGAUGAACUCACUGGAGCACUACUGCCUAUUUUCCCUGUUUCUUCUCACCUGUCUCUUCCAAUGCUAAGCCAUAUGUAUGCAAGCCUCUUCUAAACUCAGCUUUCAUUGGCUGAAAGAUGACAAAGGGAGGAUGUAGAGCAAUUUUGAAAAGCUGCGUAUUUUCUCCAACAAAACUACAUUAACCUGGAAGUGACUAGGUUAUAUUGAAUCUAAAAUGGUGGUGUUAUUCAUCCACUUCGUAUCAGAAAUUGAGGUCCCUGAUGAAAUUAUAGUCAGUACAAAAAUAUAGUUAGAUGGACAAGUUCUAGUAUUUGAUAGUUCAAUAGGAAAAUUAUAGUUAACAACAAUUUCUGUAUAUUUCAAAAUAGCUAGAAGAGAAGAAUUAUAAUGUUCCCAACAACAAAAAAGACAAAUAUUUGAGGUUAUCAAUAUCCCAAUUACUUGGAUUUGAUCAUUACACAGUGUAUACAUGUAUCAAAGUAUUACAUAUGCCCCCACAAGAUGUGUACAACUAUUAUAUGACAAGGAAAAAUUUUAAAAAUAAAGUUAGUAUGGUGGGAAAGAUUUUCUGAAUAUCUGAUGUGGUGGUAGGCUCCA